rnacentral:rRNA from 1 species
AAUAGAUACCCCGGUAGUCCACGCCGUAAACGAUGAAUGCUAGCCGUUGGGGGGUUUACUCCUCAGUGGCGCAGCUAACGCUUUAAGCAUUCCGCCUGGGGAGUACGGUCGCAAGAUUAAAACUCAAAGGAAUUGACGGGGCCCGCACAAGCGGUGGAGCAUGUGGUUCAAUUCGAAGCAACGCGCAGAACCUUACCAGCUCUUGACAUGUCCCGUAUGGUCGCCAGAGAUGGCUUCCUUCCAGCAAUGGGCGGGAACACAGGUGCUGCAUGGCUGUCGUCAGCUCGUGUCGUGAGAUGUUGGGUUAAGUCCCGCAACGAGCGCAACCCUCGCCCUUAGUUGCCAUCAUUCAGUUGGGCACUCUAAGGGGACUGCCGGUGAUAAGCCGAGAGGAAGGUGGGGAUGACGUCAAGUCCUCAUGGCCCUUACGGGCUGGGCUACACACGUGCUACAAUGGCGGUGACAGUGGGAUGCGAAGGGGUAACCCUUGGCAAAUCUCAAAAAGCCGUCUCAGUUCGGAUUGGGGU